rnacentral:rRNA from 1 species
UAACCUGCCAAGAGAUCGGGAUAACACCUGGAAACAGAUGCUAAUACCGGAUAACAACAGAUGAUGCCUAUCAACUGUUUAAAAGAUGGUUCUGCUAUCACUCUUGGAUGGACCUGCGGUGCAUUAGCUAGUUGGUAGGGUAACGGCCUACCAAGGCGAUGAUGCAUAGCCGAGUUGAGAGACUGAUCGGCCACAUUGGGACUGAGACACGGCCCAAACUCCUACGGGAGGCAGCAGAC